CCGCGAAAAAAAAAGAAAAAAUAAACGCGCAACGUGGAAGAUUAUCAUCAUGAACUGGCGACGGAAUUCUGGCAAUACCAGAUUGGUAAGAAUGCCGUCGAUGAAGAACUCUUUGGACUGCUACCCCAUUCUUUCCAACAGCAGCGGCAAAACCAGUUGUAAAACACCCGAUUCCGGCGAAAUUUGCCAGCUAGCACCAUUUGGGGGGGUGAAGCUGGGCACACAAGCAACAAAAACAAAGACGAGGAACUGUUUGCAAUGUCGAAAGAAUUGACGAAGAAAAAUUCCUGACGGAUAUUGGAAAAAAAUAAGAGUUGCCCAGAAGAUCCACUCCAAAAACGGAUUUUAACGAGCACAGCAGCUGGCGGGACUGUUAGCGAUUUGUGAAAGUGCAUGCCCCUUUGAAUGAUAUGAAUGCCACCGGAAUUUUUUUCUUUUGGAUUUUAAACCAAUUGGUUUAUUCAUAAACACCACCGGCAUCAUCUUGAAACAUCAGCACCCAGCAGAAAAACUUUCAUCGCUAGUGGUUACGAUUUAUUUACUAGAGACAUUGAACGAGAACAAUUUUAAUGUGAAUGUUACAUUGAUGCCAAUGUAUUUAUUGGGAAGUUAUGAACAUCGAAAAUA